rnacentral:lncRNA from 1 species
UUUUUGAGUUUUUGAAUUUUCAUUUUAAUUCCAUUUUCUUCAAUAAUUCAUAUUAAAUUUAAUAUUGAUCCAAAAAAUAUGGGACUUUCACCAAAAAAUUUCAAAAAAUUAUUUUUUGGAUCAUUAUUAAUAUUUUUCAUUAAUUAAUUGAUUUUUCAUUUGUUUUUAAUUAUUUAAAAACAUUUUUAAGUGUCCAAAAAUUAUGAAUUUUUU